UAUCAAAACGACUGGUAUUCUGGUAACC
rnacentral:sRNA from 1 species